GGGGGCGAAUUGGUUUCGACCGGGUACGCUGAGGCGUAGGUGGCGUGUCGUGGUUGAUCAGAAGGCCACGUAAAAAUCUGAUCACACUUGAUAACUGCUGAACCGCAGUUCUCCAUGGCGGCCUAAUAACGGCUGCCCCGUGUCCGGGAACUUCGCCUGAAAGGUUCCGGCUCGGAUGCUAAGUCAGGCUCGCGGUCGUCGGAGGCCGGCCUUUCGGGGCCGAUCACACCGAAGGAGACGAUGGCUAAACUUCACAAUCGGUUAGUCCUUCGCUCGCCCUGCUCCCGGGAAGGCGAAGGGUGAACGUGACGGGCGGGGCCGCAAGGUUCCGGCCCGUCGAAAGUAGAGGAGAUACACACGUAGAGGCCGACGCUUAACUGCCUCGGGACCGGGGUUCGAUUCCCCGCGCCUCCACUC
rnacentral:tmRNA from 1 species